rnacentral:lncRNA from 1 species
AAUUAAUAUUAAUAUUUAAUUAACAUUAAAGGAUGGUUUUAGAAUAUAAAGAAAAGAAUGUUAGUCAAUGUGCCUUGUACCACUUACCAUAAACAUUAAUUAGGCUAUAGCAAAAUUGUAUAUACCUUUAGAAUUCCUCCCCUUCCAUUAGGUAUAAUGCUGAUUUUCCCCCCUCAAAUUUAAUCAACAUACAGGAGUAAAUUUGAACAUAUGAGAUACAUUGUGAAUGGAAAUAUUAUUCUUGUGUAUCUUGGGGUCGAACACUAAGAUAAAAAGAAUUUUUAAGGGGCGUAUCAAUUAAUGUCAAAAGACUGAUCAAGAAAACUAAUUUUUCUAAAUAAAAUUAACACACCACUGUACUUUGAAAUUAUUUAUAUUUUGUUGCCCAUGCACUUAAAUUUUUUUUUAAUUUUUUUCAAGUAAAGAUCGAAUAUUUUCUUGUUCAAGAAGCUUGUUGAUAGCUUUUAAUCUUCUCUGUGAAAAAAUGAUGCAAAGAAGAGUCCAGAACCUCGAUUUAUUUUCUUGUCAAAUAGACAAAGGUGACAACGAACUGGGGCUUUGUACUUGUAUCUUCUUUGAUCCAGCAGAUGAGGAUGGAAAGGAACCAGGGGUUUUUAUAACUGAAAUUAUUGAAGGAGGUGCAGUUCACAAACUUGGAUGUAUCCGUGUAUUUGACCAGAUUAUUAAAAUAGGUGACAUCAAUCUAAUUGGAUUGGAUGAAGCAGAAAUCGUCUCUACUUUUAAAAAAAUGGACGAUUCUCCUUUCCAGAUUGAAAUUGGCCGCGAACCACCUGAAGUGAAGUCAGAACUUAUCGAACUCCUCGAGUUGUCAGAGGAAAGGAAGAAAUAUUUUAUGGAUUCGCUCAUAGUACAGGAAAAAAUUAGAGAUAUCACUAUUGUGAGAGGACAAGCAAGUAUUUGUAGAAGUCCAAGAGUACCAUGGUACUGGAUGGCCAGUGACCUGAAAUUUGUUAUUGGGGCACUGAAAAUAUUAAUAGAAGAAGAUCAGGGAUGUAGAAAAGACAUCCAAGCUAUCUUUGAGCAGGCUAACAUUUUUCAAGACAAAUAUAAAGACAUGAACACAUACAAAGUGAAUAUGGAACAGAAAUCUGAUGAAUCAAAUAAAGAAGGCACAUUUUUACCAUUGGCCCCAGAAGAAGAAUUAUUACUAGAACAAUUUAAAAUAAAGCCUAAAGAGAUAAAAAAUGAAGAUUUAUCACCAGGGCAAUUAUUAGCCCAAGGGGAUUUCAAUUCAGGUGAGAAAAAUGAGGCCCGGAGAAGAUAUUCAGAUAGUUACCUUCCCAGCGGUGACUUCAUGGCUUCUGGCUCUAAAAUCAAGGCCAAAGAGACCCAAAUAAAAAAAGAAAAAGAAGAAGAAGAAAUAGUAGUGGAGGAAGAGAUUAUUAGCACUGGAAAACCUACAGAGGGAAAGGCUAAAAAGGGAUUUUCCUGGUUCCGCAAUAUCAAAGAACGCAAGCUGUGGAACUUCUUUCAUUUUAAAAAACAUGAGAAACAAGUAAAGAAUGUGCACAAGUGGGAAGAAAUUGAUCAAGAGGUAAAUUUUCAUUAUGUUAAAUUUAUCAAAGAUUUAAGUUUGUUUCCCCAUUUAAAUUACUAG